rnacentral:rRNA from 1 species
UGCGUAGGUGGGUUUGUCCGUCGGAUGUGAAAUCUUACCGCUCAACGGUGAAACUGCAUUCGAAACUGCAAAUCUGGAGUACAUGAGGGGAGAGUGGAAUUCUUGGUGUAGCGGUGAUAUGCGUUGAUAUCAAGAAGAACACCGGUGGCGAAGGCGGCUCUCUGGCAUGUUACUGACACUGAGGCACGAAAGUUGGGGUAGCGAACAGGAUUAGAUACCCUGGUAGUCC